rnacentral:lncRNA from 13 species
AGGAGAAUUGCUUGAAUCCAGGAGGCGGAGGUUGCAAUGAGCUGAGAUCAUGCCACUGCACUCUAGCCUGGGCAACAGAGCAAGACUGUCUCAAAAAAAAAAAAAAAAAAAGUAAAAGAAAAGAAACAAGAAAGCUCUACCAAGUUUGUCCAUUUACAACAUCACAUUAUACUGUGAGUGGUUGCCACAACCAGGUGCCUCUCUUAUUUCCCACAGAGGCAAACCCUAAUCCAGUGUCCUGAAGAGCUCUACUUGCAGUGAGGAAUCUGCCCAUACCUCUAAGAAUCUUAGCAUCUCUGCUGUAUAUGGCCUUUCAGAGACCAGUGGGACCAAAAAAGAGAAGAACUUUUAGAGCAUGCAAUCUGGAGUGAAUUUUUGAAUUACUGAUAUUUCAGACUGAUUUUAAAAGGGAGAAUUUAAAAGAAGAAACAGUAUUUUAAAAAAUGGUUAGAAAACAAUGCAGAAAUGAAAAAAGCAGGAGACUUCUCAAUAUAGGAUUACAUGGAGGCCCACAUCAGAAUGAAUAUUCUGUAAAUCAAGACUCAAGACUUAGCUGCUUCAGCUUCAGUGGCUUUUAGUGAGAAAUGACAAUUAGAAAAGUCUAGCAAAUCAAACCAACAUGUCACCAAGUUAUCUUUAUAGAUUCACUUGAAGGUAUUUUCUGGAGUACUUGCAUUUAAGCUGGAUCUAAAUUUAUGCUGAACUCUUCAACAUCAAGUUACAUAAUAAAUUGUCAUGUUAAAAAUAAAGAAUACCUUUG